rnacentral:rRNA from 1 species
ACCAUGAAGAGUUUGAUCCUGGCUCAGGAUGAACGCUAGCGGCAGGCCUAACACAUGCAAGUCGAGGGGCA